rnacentral:lncRNA from 1 species
AGUCGGACUCUAGAGUUUGUUUGCAAAACUUGGCAGGCGCUAUGUCCCAUCAGAGCUAAGAAAUGGAUUUCAGGUGGACUGAGCCAAUAGACAAUUAAGUUUCGUCUGAUUGUAGCUGCACACACAGGAUUCCUGUUACACUCCGAUGCCCAUGUGAGAAGCCACAGUUCCAGCCCAGCUCUCAGAUCCUGGAAGGCUGCUAAGAAUGAUUCUUCCUCCUCUCCCGCCCUCCUCCUCCCCGUCCCCCUCCCCCGUCCCAUUCGAAUAUGGAAGAACUUCAAGUGUCCCUUGAAACAGAUAACAGAGCCCUGUCUGGGAAUCAAGCCACAUCUUCCCUUUCAAGACCUGGAAGCCACCGUGGCCUGACAAGCAGUAAGAGACGCGAUAAUAAAGAGGACGAGCCACUCCAGGGCUGGAUUUCAUUUCCAGCUUAAUUAAAUCCAAGAAACACACCUGACCUCCAGCUUUGAAGAGCUGCCUCAAAAGCCAGCAAGGAUGUUGUGAUUCCGUACUGAUACCUGGGGUCCCUUUGUUCUCAGCUGUAGAAGCCAGUGAUUCCAUAAAGAGCAGGGAAGAACAGAAGAGUCACCCCUCUUGAUGGCGGAUAACUAUUGAUGAACUUGAGCGGCUAUUGAAGCAUUGAUAACGGCUCACGGCAAAGUCAUAUGAUAUCCAUCGCAGAAGUCAUAGGCAAGAGCACCAAUGACUGUCAGAGCAGGGAGGAAAAGGGG